UACGUAGGGGGCUAGCGUUGUCCGGAUUUAUUGGGCGUAAAGAGCGUGUAGGCGGCCAGGUAGGUCUGGUGUGAAAACUCGAGGCUUAACCUCGAGAUGUCAUCGGAAACCAUCUGGCUAGAGUCCGGAAGAGGAGAGUGGAAUUCCUGGUGUAGCGGUGAAAUGCGCAGAUAUCAGGAAGAACACCAAUGGCGAAAGCAGCUCUCUGGGACGGUACUGACGCUGAGACGCGAAAGCGUGGGGAGCGAAUAGG
rnacentral:rRNA from 1 species